UUAAGUUCUUUAGCACAUGGCAUGCUGUCCAGUGUGACGAAGUAUUGAAAGUGUUUGUUGCAGAAAUCAAACUCUAAAUGUAAAUUUUAAAAGAAUAAUAUACCUUACCGCGACAAACCGGUGUAAUCCAGUUAUAUUUCAUAUAAACUUGAUUCGUGAGUGAUUCUGAAUUUACUACUCGUCACACUGCAAAUAUUUCUGCGGCCAUUUUGACACGAGACUGGCACCCCAAUUCAUUAAUUAAUUUUUAUGCUAGAAAAAGUUAUUUGUGAUUUAUUAUAAUUUUUAUUUAAGUGAAUAAAUAAUCAUGUCCAACGAAGAAACUUCAGCUGAUCGAAAUGUUGAAAUAUGGAAAAUAAAAAAAUUGAUCAAAAGUUUGGAGCUUGCAAGAGGAAAUGGAACAAGCAUGAUAUCAUUAAUUAUCCCUCCAAAAGAUCAAAUAUCUCGAGUCAGUAAAAUGUUAGCUGAUGAAUUCGGUACUGCAUCAAACAUUAAAUCUCGAGUAAAUAGGUUAUCUGUAUUAGGAGCAAUCACAUCUGUACAACAUAGACUUAAAUUAUACACUAAAGUUCCACCAAAUGGAUUAGUAAUUUAUUGUGGAACAAUCGUAACCGAUGAAGGUAAAGAAAAGAAAGUGAACAUCGAUUUUGAACCAUUUAAACCAAUCAAUACCUCUUUAUAUUUAUGUGACAAUAAAUUUCAUACUGAAGCAUUAACAGCCCUUCUAGCUGACGAUAAUAAAUUUGGUUUUAUUGUAAUGGAUGGUAAUGGAGCACUAUUUGGUACACUACAAGGUAAUACUCGUGAAGUAUUACAUAAAUUCACUGUAGAUUUACCAAAAAAACACGGUCGUGGUGGUCAAUCUGCGUUACGUUUUGCUCGAUUACGUAUGGAAAAACGACACAAUUAUGUUAGAAAAGUAGCUGAAGUUGCUACAACACUUUUUAUUUCAAAUGACAAGCCUAAUAUUGCUGGAUUAAUUCUAGCUGGUAGUGCUGAUUUUAAGACUGAACUCAGUCAAUCUGAUAUGUUUGAUCCUAGAUUACAAGCGAAAAUCAUAAAAUUAGUGGAUGUAUCCUAUGGUGGCGAAAAUGGUUUUAAUCAAGCAAUUGAAUUAGCGGCAGAAUCAUUACAAAAUGUUAAAUUUAUUCAAGAGAAAAAAUUAAUAGGUCGUUAUUUUGAUGAAAUUAGUCAAGAUACGGGCAAAUAUUGUUUUGGUGUUGAAGAUACGUUGAAAGGUUUAGAAUUGGGGUCGGUUGAAACACUAAUUUGCUGGGAAAAUUUAGAUAUUCAACGAUAUGUAUUAAAAAAUCACACGUCUGGUGUUGAAACUGUUCUACAUUUAACACCCGAACAAGAAAAGGAUAAAACACAUUUUACAGAUAAAGAGAGUGGCGUUGAAUUAGAAUUAGUUGAAUGUCAACCGUUGUUAGAAUGGCUUGCAAAUAAUUAUAAGAAUUUUGGUGCAACAUUAGAAAUUAUUACUGAUAAAUCUCAAGAAGGAUCACAGUUCGUAAGAGGGUUUGGUGGCAUUGGAGGAAUUCUGCGGUACAAAGUCGAUUUUCAAUCUCUUCAGGCCGAUGAACCUUUGGACGAUGUUGAUCUUGACGAUUAUUAAGAUCCACUUCGUUCUUUAAAUAAAAAAAUAAAACGGUUGCUUUCUACUAACACAGGUAUAUUACGUUACAAGGUGGACUUCCAAAGCAUGCAAUUAGAAGAAGGUUCAGUUGAUGAUAUGUACGAUUUGGAUGACUACUAAACAAAACCACAUAACAAAUGAAAAAUAAUUUAUUUGAAUCAAUCAAAACAAACUCUAGACCAAUCAAAUCAAACAUCAACAUCAAAACACAAAGUAUAAUAAAUAUAUAGUGAUCCUAAGGAAAUUGUCAGUAAACUGCCAACUACCGCAGUGCUCAUAUUGAAUCUGCAGGUGCUUUUCAAUAAGCAGUUGUGAUCAACGCUGCCUCCUUUAAUUAAUUAACACGCCUUGAACGAAUCACUUUAUAAUAAAAAAACAUUAUAUAAAUGCAUUAUUGUAAACAACAUGUAUUUUAUCUUUUUUCUUUACUUUUUUUUCUCCACUUUUUAAUUUUUCAAAGGGACAAAGCAAUAUUUUUAGUUUUAUUACUUUGUAGGCCUGGCAUAUUUCCACAAGAUUUUUUUUU